UUAAAAACUAUUACCAUAUAAAUACCAAAAACGACACCAUAAACGACGAUGGUGGCGUGCUUAAGCAGGCGAGUGGUGCCUUCUGGUCCCCGUGAUUUAGAGAUUGGAGGCAUGGGGCUGAAAAGCUUGUGGAAUUUUUCAAUCUAUCUCAGUCAUGUAUGAUUUGAUGGCGCUAUCUUCACUUGUUUUGCUGGAAAUUUCGGAUUUGAUUUGAUUUAGAUCAUGUGUUCUUCGUAGACAUUAGAGAGGAGAAACAUGUUGUUCUUGUGUUCUUAUUCGUUCAGAACCAAACUAGACUUAAUUACGACUUAGUCCUUGUAGUUUAACACAACUAGUUAGCUAAUCCUUGUAGUUUAACAAACUAUGUUUUUUUAUUUUUUUUUAAUAUGCUUGUAACUUGGUCUUUCUGUCAA